GUUUUCAGGACAAAUCCAAACCAUAGCCCCAUAUUAGCUACUGUGAAGAAAAUUAACUCUAUCCCAGUCCAAAACCAGCACAGGGGGACAG